rnacentral:rRNA from 1 species
GGUUGUCGUCAGCUCGUGUCGUGAGAUGUUGGGUUAAGUCCCGCAACGAGCGCAACCCUUAUCAUUAGUUGCUAACAUUCAGUUGAGAACUCUAAUGAGACUGCCAGUGAUAAACUGGAGGAAGGUGGGGAUGACGUCAAAUCAUCAUGCCCCUUAUGACCUGGGCUACACACGUGCUACAAUGGCCGGUACAAAGAGUUGCGAAACUGUGAAGUUAAGCUAAUCUCAUAAAGCCGGUCUCAGUUCGGAUUGUAGUCCGCAACUCGACUACAUGAAGUCGGAAUCGCUAGUAAUCGCGAAUCAGAAUGUCGCGGUGAAUACGUUCUCGAGUCUU